CGUGUUCUACUGGUCUCGCAGUAUAAAAGCAUGCUCCUGUAUCUCGUUUUUAAAAGUUCCAAAGACAUUUUUGUCAGUGACUGUUUUUUGAAACUCGGGAAAAAAUGAAAAUCGCAGUUUGUUUUCUUACUUUCAUAAUCGGCUAUACGUAUGCCACCUACGUGUUCAGACUCGAAUCCGUGUGAUCCGAAUGUGACGUCAUGUGGCCAGGGUUAUCACCUGAAAUGUCUUGCCACAUCAGCAACUGAGAAUAACUGUGUCUGUGUGGACACUAAUAAUCAUGGUGCACAUACCUGCACGACACAGGCCGACUGUCAUGCUAAUCAUUUACAUCACUGUAACCAUGGUCACUGGCAAUGCCAAAAUGGACACUGUCACUGCGGAAGUGGUGCUGGUAACGGAAAAAAAUAAACUGUAUGUGUACAUGAACAGUAAUGAAUAAAUACAUUACUUGAA
rnacentral:lncRNA from 1 species